rnacentral:rRNA from 1 species
AGUGAACGCUGGCGGUAGGCCUAACACAUGCAAGUCGAACGGCAGCACAGUAAGAGCUUGCUCUUACGGGUGGCGAGUGGCGGACGGGUGAGGAAUACAUCGGAAUCUACUUUUUCGUGGGGGAUAACGUAGGGAAACUUACGCUAAUACCGCAUACGACCUACGGGUGAAAGCAGGGGAUCUUCGGACCUUGCGCGAUUGAAUGAGCCGAUGUCGGAUUAGCUAGUUGGCGGGGUAAAGGCCCACCAAGGCGACGAUCCGUAGCUGGUCUGAGAGGAUGAUCAGCCACACUGGAACUGGGACACGGUCCAGACUCCUACGGGAGGCAGCAGUGGGGAAUAUUGGACAAUGGGCGCAAGCCUGAUCCAGCCAUACCGCGUGGGUGAAGAAGGCCUUCGGGUUGUAAAGCCCUUUUGUUGGGAAAGAAAAGCAGCAGGUUAAUACCCCGCUGUUCUGACGGUACCCAAAGAAUAAGCACCGGCUAACUUCGU